rnacentral:tRNA from 1 species
UGCUCCGGUAGUGUAGCCCGGCCAAUCAUUUCGGCCUUUCAAGCCGAAGACUCGGGUUCAAAUCCCGGCCGGAGCAU